rnacentral:rRNA from 1 species
UACGUAGGGCGCAAGCGUUGUCCGGAAUUAUUGGGCGUAAAGAGCUCGUAGGCGGCUUGUCGCGUCGGUUGUGAAAGCCCGGGGCUUAACCCCGGGUCUGCAGUCGAUACGGGCAGGCUAGAGUUCGGUAGGGGAGACUGGAAUUCCUGGUGUAGCGGUGAAAUGCGCAGAUAUCAGGAGGAACACCGAUGGCGAAGGCAGGUCUCUGGGCCGAUACUGACGCUGAGGAGCGAAAGCGUGGGUAGCAAACAGG